AGCGGGGUAGAGGUAUUGAUCAACUCAUCAGGAUCAUGACCUGAAGAUUGCAGGUUCAAAUCUUGUCCCUGCCU